UACGAAGGGGGCUAGCGUUGCUCGGAAUGACUGGGCGUAAAGGGCGCGUAGGCGGUUCAUACAGUCAGAUGUGAAAUUCCUGGGCUCAACCUGGGGGCUGCAUUUGAUACGUGUGGACUAGAGUGGAGAAGAGGGUCGUGGAAUUCCCAGUGUAGAGGUGAAAUUCGUAGAUAUUGGGAAGAACACCGGUGGCGAAGGCGGCGACCUGGUCCUUGACUGACGCUGAGGCGCGAAAGCGUGGGGAGCAAACAGG
rnacentral:rRNA from 1 species